rnacentral:rRNA from 1 species
CAUGCAAGUCGAGCGGGAUCUAUUGGCUUCAAUCCUUCGUGGAGAGAAGCCUUUAGUGAGAGCGGCGAACGGGUGAGUAAUACGUGAGCAAUUUGCCCUUCAGUUGGGGAUAGCCCAUCGAAAGAUGGAUUAAUACCGAAUGUGGUUUUCUGAUGCAUAUCAGAAUAUCUAAAGGCGGGGAUCUUCGGACCUGUCGCUAAAGGAUAAGCUCGCGCCCUAUCAGCUUGUUGGUGAGGUAACGGCUCACCAAUGCUACGACGGGUAGCUGGUUUGAGAGAAUGGUCAGCCACACUGGGACUGAGACACUGCCCAGACUCCUACGGGAGGCUGCAGUCGAGGAUCUUGGACAAUGUGCGAAAGCAUGAUCCAGCGACGCCGCGUGCAGGAUGACGGCCUUAGGGUUGUAAACUGCUGUCAUGAGGGAGAAACGUUUCGGGGCGAAUACCCCCGGAAGUUGAUAGUACCUCAAGAGGAAGCCACGGCUAACUCUGUGCCAGCAGCCGCGGUAAUACAGAGGUGGCGAGCGUUGUUCGGAAUUACUGGGCGUAAAGGGUGCGUAGGCGGUAUUGUAAGUCGGAUGUGAAAGUCCACAGCUCAACUGUGGAACUGCAUUCGAUACUGCAGUACUAGAGUACUGGAGAGGUGAGUGGAAUUCUUGGUGUAGCGGUGAAAUGCGUAGAUAUCAAGAAGAACGCCGUUAGCGAAAGCGACUCACUGGACAGAUACUGACGCUGAGGUACGAAAGCCAGGGUAGCGAAGAGGAUUAGAUACCCUCGUAGUCCUGGCCGUAAACGUUGUGCACUUGGUGUGGGAGGAGUUAUCCCCUUCCGUGCCGGAGCUAACGCGUUAAGUGCACCGCCUGGGGAGUACGGCCGCAAGGUUAAAACUCAAAGGAAUUGACGGGGGCCCGCACAAGCGGUGGAGCAUGUGGCUUAAUUCGAUGCAACGCGAAGAACCUUACCUGGGCUUGACAUGGAGAGACUUCGGUCUAAACCGGUGAAAGUCGGUUGAACUCACACAGGUGCUGCAUGGCUGUCGUCAGCUCGUGCCGUGAGGUGUUGGGUUAAGUCCCGCAACGAGCGCAACCCUUAUCGUUAGUUGCCACCUGGGGAGAGAUCCCCAGAGCACUCUAGCGAGACUGCCCGUGACAAGCGGGAGGAAGGUGGGGAUGACGUCAAGUCAGUAUGGUCCUUAUGCCCAGGGCUGCACACGUGCUACAAUGAACGGUACAGAAGGAUGCGAAGCCGCGAGGCCAAGCAAAUCCCCAAAACCGUUCUCAGUUCGGAUUGUAGUCUGCAACUCGACUACAUGAAGCUGGAAUCGCUAGUAAAGGCGUAUCAGCUACGACGCCUUGAAUACGUUCCCGGGCCUUGUACACACCGCCCGUCACAUCAUGAGAGCCGAUUGCACCCGAAGUCGCCGGGUUAACCUUCACAGGAGACAGGUGCCGAAGGUGUGAUUGGUGAUUGGGAUGAA